ACCCGGGCUCAGGAGUUUGUGUUGUGGUCAUGCAAACAGCCCCACUGCCAUGGAUGUUUCUUCUUGGAGUAUUUGAAAUUGACAGUUUUGCUAAAGAGCAAUCUCAGAGGUGGCAAGUCUAAAAAAAGCAAGCCCUGGGGAAACAAAAGAGGCCUUGGACAGAACAAAAAUUGAUGCAAUAAUGAAUGCAGUGAUCCAGAGAUCUCCUGGAACCACCAGGGGCCAACUAAGGGUCGCUAUUAAUCAAAAGGUCACUGAGCUGCGGACAUCCAAAAAGACU